rnacentral:lncRNA from 1 species
CGAAAGCCGACGGUUCUCCGCCCAGGUCUUUAAGGCCCUGCCUACCCCCGGGCCGGAUGCAACUCUGCCCAGCUCUGAGAAGAGGGCAGGAUGCAGGUUGUAAGCCUAGUGAUCCACAAGAGGCUGAUUUUUCACACAUUAACCUCACUGUCUUCACAUCAAUACCAAGAGGCACUGACUCGCACAGACCAACCGAUCGUGAGGCGGACAAGGGAGAUCACAGUGCUGUCUGCUCUGGGCUGGGCCUGGAGCGAUCUUCCAUCCCCGGGCCAAAAGGCCAUGGUCCCUAUUCUCUUAGCAGCACUGCCAAGAGAUGGCUGAGGGGAAUGGUUGAGGAGGCCUGUUCUGGAGCGCCACCACUUACCAGCUGUGUUACUUGAACUAAUGAACCUCCUAGAACCUCACUUUUACCCGAUAAAAUGAGGACCAUGAUGAUGUGAAAUGCAUAGACCCAUUGUAUUAAAACUAAUCAACAAAAAAUCGUGAAUGGCUCCUACGUGUUAGGAACAAAGUUCAAGUCCUAGCUAG